AACUCACGGAUGAGUGAUUGUGUUUUUGGCCUUUAACCUGAAAUUAUAUUCAGGGUAGAAAAAAAGAAAAAUUAAAUUAAAUUAAAUUUUAACAGUGAAAUUUCAAGAAAAAAUAAAAAGCAAAGAAAAAUAAUAACAAGGCACACAGAAUAUCCUUUUGCUGGCUCUGGCAAAAGUAGUACGAGUGUCUGUGGUCUUAUAAAAAGGAAGAGUGUCCUUUUUUUUUUUACUUUUUGGUGUCGUAAAGGUUGUUUAAAGUUCAUUCAAGCGGGAAAAUUGGUUAAAAAGAAACAAAAUUAUUUUCGUCGGUGAAUUUAAAGUGGAGAGAAUCCAUUCAGCCAGAGCGGAUAUGAAAAUGAAAAAAAAGGAUAUCCCAUCAUAGCCAAUUUCGAUGACCGCAACUGAAUGACCGUAACGUAGUUCAACCAUAUACACACACAGAAAGAAAUUUAUACGACAACAAGGCUGCUAUCACCCGCAAUAAGGCAAUAAGGACGACAUUUUCACUAAGGUACUAAAAAAGAGAGAAUGCGAAUAUAAAAACCAAAAGCAACAAAAAAAAAGUUAAAUUACAUCAAAAAUAAAAAAAUAAAAAAAAAACAGAAAACAGGAUUUUGUAAAAGAAGUGUAUCCUAAUGAUAUAUAGUAGGCUAGGGAUUAACAAGAGCUUACACAAGACCAACAGUAACGCAUUGCGACUACAACUACAACUACUACCAUCAUCAACUACAACAACAACAUCACUGCCAACCAUCAUCAUCAACACACUGGCAAAAAGAAGAAAAAAAAAUUCAUUUCUAUAAAAACAUAAAAAAAAUAA